rnacentral:lncRNA from 1 species
CAUUUUGGUAUUUUGCUUGUUCAGCAUGGGAUUUCACGUGAAGAUCCACUAACAGGCUGUCUCUUGGGAAUCAUCAAAUCUGUUCCUGCUGAAGAUGUUCACGAGACCUCUGAUCAGUUAGAAGAACUGGAAGAUUUGAGCAAUCCAAAGUGAAUGGGAACUGUUCAUCUCAGGAGAUCAGGACACUUCCACUCAUUUCUCCAUGUGCACCUAAUAAGCAACAGAUGUGUUAAUUAUUUCUGGUUGGAUGCUGUGCGUGGAACAUAAGGAGUUUGCACCAGGCCCUGUAUGUACGGCAAGUACCAACACUAUCCCAUUGGGAAACAUGGAAUUGUAUGUGUGUGCAGCAAUCUCUAAGGAAAGUGGUUUCAGCUUCCAGCAGAGUCAUCAUAGCUGCAUGCUGCCUUAUCAAAGGACAAGAAAAGAUAAAGUGGAUUUGGUUGAUAAUUGGCUCCUGUUCCAAGAACUUGUCCUUCAGCAAAUGUCCUGCAUCCCUAGAAGUCUCAAAGGAGGUUAG